GCGCAGCAGUCGCGAAAACUCCGCAAUACGCGAAAGCGUGACGGGGCUACCCCGAGUGUCGUCCGCUGAGGACGACUUUUCCACGCUGUAAGGAGGCGUGGGAAUAAGGAGAGGGCAAGUCUGGUGUCAGCCGCCGCGGUAAUACCAGCUCUUCGAGUGGUAGGGAUGUUUAUUGGGCCUGAAGCAUCCGUAGCCGGCUGGACAAGUCCUCCGUUAAAUCCAGCGAUUCAAUCGUUGGAUUGCGAGGGAUACUGUUCGGCUAGGGGGUGAGAGAGGCCAACGGUAUUCCCGGGGUAGGGGUGAAAUCCUAUAAUCCCGGGAGGACCACCAGUGGCGAAGGCGGCCGACUAAAACGCGCCCGACGGUGAGGGACGAAAGCUGGGGGAGCGAACGGGAUUAGAUAUGAAGUUGAGUUUUUACCAGCUUCACUAGAAACCCCGGUAGUCC
rnacentral:rRNA from 1 species